CUAUUAUGUAUUUAUAAUAAUCAAAAUUUAAAAAUUUAAAAAAAAUUAUCUGUACCAUGCUUUAACAUGUGCCUGGCACUCCACAAGGGCCUGGAACUUUGAGGCUAUUGUCAUUACCGGGGCCCCACCCAGACUUCAGCAAGAAGUGUUUUGAAAAUCAAGUAACAGCAUUAAUCAUUGCUUACCAUGUGCUAGGCUGCCCACUAAGCAUUCUAUACACGCUCUUCCACUUCCACAACACAACAGCUUUACUAUCAAGGUGGGUGCUGACAUUGUCUCCAUUUUACAGAUGAAGAAACGGAGGUGCGGAGCAGAGAAGCGACCUGGUCAAGGAACCCAGUGGCAGAGUCAGACCCCCACCUCCUCACCUGUCCCCAGAGCCUGUGCUCUUAGCCCAGCACAGCUGAAUGGGAUCCCUCCUCAUCCAACUCACCCAAAUACCUUUCAGAAGAUGUAAAGUGGCUUCUCAAAAGGAUCAAAGAGGCCAGGCUGGAGUGCAGCAGUGCAGUCACGGAUCACAGCAGCCUCGAUCUCCUGGGCUCAAGGGAUCCUCCCACCUCAGCCUCCCCAGU
rnacentral:lncRNA from 10 species